CAAAAUUAUUCAGCAUUUGGCUAAAAAUACAUAGUUUCUAAUGAAAAAAUAUUCAAUUUUCAGCAGGUUUUGAUUAAAAAAAAAAGCUUGAUAUUUCAUCAAAAACUUUCCAUGAGGGGGAAAAAAAACCCAAACAUUUUCCAGCCAACCUCAGUUGAGCUCCCAAGGUCCGUCUGCCUCAUAUCGCCCACUGCAGGAUACGUCUGCUAUCUGUUGUCACAGUGUUGAGCAAAUCAGCCCAGAAUUUAAGAGGUUCCCGCAGAUCAAGAGGUCUGGAUGCCUGGUAACUGAGCAACCAAAUCCCUCUUGCUCUGCAGCUGGUUUGUGAGGGUAGAAUGCGGCACUGUAAUUCAUGAAGAGUGAUAUCCUUCCCUGAUUUUAACUUCACUGAGAGGAAACAAGUCCAGCUGCAGUGUAACAGGACCUCCUCUUCCUGCCAGCCAGCCUGGCCAAGACUAUAUUUAACUCAAGGACACAUGCCAAGAGCUGACCUUCAUGGGGGACCCAGUAACUGGAUGCCCAGACGCUACCCUGCACCCCUUGGACACACCCCACAAAGAGAGAGUGAUACUAGGACAGGCAUGGCCCAGCUGGAACAGACAAACAGCUGCAGAGCUCAGCUGAGCUAACAGGUCUGACUGACAGUUCUUGGGGCUCUUUUUGCAGCCGGUACUUACGGUAUGAUCGUCUUGGCGUGGCGGCGGGGGGGCUGGGUCCUCAGCCUGCUUUGUGGGGCAGGAGGUCGAGAGAGGAGCGCUCCUCUUUAAUGAGUGACACCUUGAGACUUCGGCGAGCAAGACAGCAAGUGGAGAGAGGUGACAUUGCACUACACCACUGCGUACAAUCCCAGUCUGAGCCCUGCAUGCCACAAUAAGCCCACAUUGCACGUGCACGUGCACACACUCAUCCCUUCCAGUCCUGUGUCCCUCUGCUACUGGCGAGGGCGAGACAGUCCAGCAACUCUAACCCUGGGGUAACCCUGGCGUCCCUGCACUGCGCAAUCUUACUGAGAUGCAUGAGUCAAGCUCGGGGCUGCUGCCACAUUCCCAUGGCGGUUUCCUUUGUAUCACCCUGGCACAAGGCAGCUGGCAGGUCCAGGUGCUCCUGUUUAGCCAAUUAAGAGGGCAGGACAGCACCUGGAGGCUAUAAAGACUCAGGUGAGAAGUGCUUGAGACCUGCGGACUGCAGGAUUCCUGGAAGGAAGCAGAAGGUGGUUCAUGGAAGAAGGCUGAAAGUAGGCGAGCAGCAAGAGAGGUUUGUUGGGUGGUGUGCCCGAGCCAGGGCUGGAGCAGCAGCUGCAGAGGGUGUUACCUGCUGGCUCAGAGCCAGAGACAAGGGCUGGAGAGGGCUGAAGACAGCAGGGCAGUGGAGGGGCUGAUCUGCUGAUAUCUGCAGGGCUGGAGAGCUGGACCCUGAGGAACAACGAGAGGGCCAAGGGGCUUGAGGGAGGGUCCCAGCGGAGAGGCUGAGUGGGUUCCUGCUGGGAAAAGCAGGGCUGUGUUCCUGUUGGAAGGGCUGGGGUGGCCAUCCUGGUACAAGGACAGGAGAGAACGAACAGAGUCUGGGGCUGAAGGUGCUGGUAUGUGGGGCACCGUGGUGUGGGGCAGCUUGAUUUUUAAUGAGUAGCUGCACUGGGGGCAGAAGUGGACUAUGUCUGGGGCUCUUGUUAUGGACUAUUUCGGACUAGGUUGUAAUAAGCCAGCCUCAAGGUGGGAAUCAUAUUGAGACAAGAGAGCCUGAAAUGAAGUUAUUGAGUGACUGGAGGGGGAAACUGAGGCAGGUGUGCUGGUCAGGUCAUGACCUGCCACAGGGGUGACAUACUCUCUACGGCAGAUUUCACUGUCUAGUUUUUAAUUAAGGGCUACACUGAUAGUUGUACAUCUGGGAAUGGGACCCAGAAGUUCUGGCUCCUAACCACUACACCUCACUCCUCUCCCAGAGCUGAAAAUAGAACCCGGGAAUCCUGGGUCCCACUCCCUCCUGCUCUAACCCACUAGAACUCUCUCAGGUCGCAGAGGUGG